AUAUCAAUAAGCGGAGGAAAAGAAACUAACAAGGAUUCCCUUAGUAACGGCGAGUGAAGUGGGAAAAGCUCAAAUUUGAAAUCUUGUAGGGCAAACCCUGCACGAAUUGUAGUUUAGAGAAACGUCUUCUGGGGCGGCUCGGGUAUAAGUCCUUUGGAACGAGGCAUCAUAGAGGGUGAGAAUCCCGUUUAUGAUCCGAUGUUCCGCUCCUCUGUGAUACGUUUUCCAAGAGUCAGGUAGUUUGGGAAUGCUGCCUAAAAUGGGUGGUAUAUUUCAUCUAAAGCUAAAUAUUGGCCAGAGACCGAUAGCGCACAAGUA
rnacentral:rRNA from 1 species